CUCCUUCUCCUAAUCCUCUUCUCCGUCCCCUCCUCCCCUGCCUCCUCCUCCUCCUAAUCCUCCUCCCCUUACCUCCUCUCCGCCCCUCCUCCCCUGACUCAUCCUGUCCUCUCCAUCCUCCUCUUUCCUCCUCCCCUGACCUCUUCUCUCCCCAACCCGCCCCCCACCCCCGUCUUCCCUCCCCAUCCUCUCUCACCCCCCUGUGUCCCAAACUAUGGCACAAUAGCGUUCAGCUCCUCUGUCUAUUCUGUGUCCAGCAGGAGCCCGCAGUGAUUCAUUGCUCCAAUUAGGGGCUCUGCAGCCCGUGGCUCGGGCUGUCUGAAGGGUCUCCUUUGGGACCCACGAAACCCAUCAGCCGCUGCCGCUGAUCUUUAAGGAAAGGUCAAGCCGGACGCAUUAGAGCCAGGACUGGGAGAAGCAGAACCUAGGCAAAGCUGACAGGCCAAGCUCUCCAGAGACCAAGGCAAGAGGAUCUCAAUGUCAAGGCCAGUCUGGGCUACACAAGUGGCUGGCCUAUCCUGGACUUCUUCACAGUGUCUGAUGCUGAACUGGAGGAUGGCACUUUGUCUUCUUCUGUGAGUUCUCACUGUAUCCCAGCUGACCUCACACUUCAGCAGCCCCCUUGCCUCGUCCUCCCCAGUGCUGAGAUUGCUGGAGUGAGCCCCCAUGCCUGGCUGGGCAUUGUGCUUUUGAAAACCUGAAGCUCCUGCCUUUGGCUCCUGAUUGAGGCCUCCGGCCUCCUUCAGCUCCUGGCUUCUCAGUCUCUCCAGCAUGCAGACAGCCAUCAUUGGACCCCCAAGUCCUUCCUGUCAAGGUGGCUCCAGUGAUUAAAGGUGCUUGCUGCUAAGCCUGACUACCUGAGCUCAAUCCCUGGAACCCACGUGAUAGAAGAAGAGAAUCAACCCCUAAAGGCUGCCUUCUGAUUUCUUCAUGAAUGCCAUGGCACAUGUGUGCACUCAUGCAUGCAUCAU
ensembl:lncRNA